UGUGCCUCCUGGUGGAAUAUUGCUCUGUUCCUACAACACUUCCUGUGAUUCAGCAUAACUUCUAGGAAGAGAGCAUUACAAAGCAUGAGCAUUUAUCCAGAAACUGUACUUGAGUUUUAAUGCUUCCACAUCUGGCUUGAGCUGCAAUGUUUCUGUAGAAGCUGAGCUGAAGGAAAUGAGUAAGCAAGAAAGGGAUUCUUCUGUCUUGCAGAGAAAUUCUCUUUAAUCUGAAUGUUGACUGUGGCUUGGUGCCAGUACAUUGAGCUGUUCUGCACUGCAGAGAGGACCUUAGCUGUAUGAAAUUGCUCUGGCCUCUUCCACUGCAUCACUCUAGGAAAGCUGAAUUUGGAGGGAAACUAGUUACUACAAAGGCAUGUGGAGGCUGUCUUCUGUUAUGUGUUAGAGAAUUUCAAGGUGUGCUUCUCCAAGAAAGGGACAGCUGUUCUCACUGCAAGAACCAUUUCCUUCCAGAAGACAUCUGCAGAGAAAGGUUUAUCUGGCUUCAAGUGAAGUUAGCAGCACAUAAAGUUCUAAGGAUCAUUUUUAACCUUUAUAUUAAUGUUUCAUUGCUGCCCUAUGAAGUCUCCAUCCAGUGGAAAACAUUUCCUUCUAACAAUUCAAGAUCAAGCCCUAAAUCGUUAUAGCAGGCCUGGAAUGAGUGCACAGCUGGAACGUGAACAUCAGAGAAAUGUAUAUGCUGAAAUGUCCAGAGGUGGCAGAGGGAGCCAGGAGGCUGCUGCUGGCUUCUCAGCAACCCACUUUGCAUCCAGGCGUGCCAGAAACCUGGGGACUGCUCUCUGAAUUUUCUGCUUGAAAAUGCAUGAGGACUUGAGACUAGAAUUCCUCUCUCUCACCCAAGCACUUUGUUUUAAUGCACCACACCAAUAGCACUUGAAUACUAGAGAGACUGGCACUUCAUAUUUUGCAUCCCAGUAAAAUGAAUUGUUCCAGUGUUUGAUUUCAUUUCCUUGACUCCAAGAAGAGCAAGUUAAUAGUGAUGACU
rnacentral:lncRNA from 1 species